rnacentral:rRNA from 1 species
UACGGAAGGCAGCAGUGGGGAAUAUUGCACAAUGGGCGAAAGCCUGAUGCAGCUAUGCCGCGUGUAUGAAGAAGGCCUUAGGGUUGUAAAGUACUUUCAUCGGGGAGGAAAAAACAAAACUAAUAAUUUUAUUUCUUGACGUUACCCGAAAAAGAAGCACCGGCUAACUCCGUGCCAGCAGCCGCGGUAAUACGGAGGGUGCUAGCGUUAAUCAGAAUUACUGGGCGUAAAGAGCACGUAGGUGGUUUUUUUAAAGUCAGAUGUGAAAUCCCUGGGCUUAACCUAGGAACUGCAUUUUGAAAACUGAAAUACUAGAGUAUCGUAGAGGGAGGUAGAAUUCUAGGUGUAGCGGUGAAAUGCGUAGAUAUCUGGAGGAAUACCUGUGGCGAAAGCGGCCUCCUAAACGAAUACUGACACUGAGGUGCGAAAAGCGUGGGGAGCAAAACAGGGAUUAGAUACC